UGUAAGACUGGGAUAACUCCGGGAAACCGGGGCUAAUACCGGAUGGUUGUUUGAACCGCAUGGUUCAGACAUAAAAGGUGGCUUCGGCUACCACUUACAGAUGGACCCGCGGCGCAUUAGCUAGUUGGUGAGGUAACGGCUCACCAAGGCAACGAUGCGUAGCCGACCUGAGAGGGUGAUCGGCCACACUGGGACUGAGACACGGCCCAGACUCCUACGGGAGGCAGCAGUAGGGAAUCUUCCGCAAUGGACGAAAGUCUGACGGAGCAACGCCGCGUGAGUGAUGAAGGUUUUCGGAUCGUAAAGCUCUGUUGUUAGGGAAGAACAAGUGCCGUUCAAAUAGGGCGGCACCUUGACGGUACCUAACCAGAAAGCCACGGCUAACUACGUGCCAGCAGCCGCGGUAAUACGUAGGUGGCAAGCGUUGUCCGGAAUUAUUGGGCGUAAAGGGCUCGCAGGCGGUUUCUUAAGUCUGAUGUGAAAGCCCCCGGCUCAACCGGGGAGGGUCAUUGGAAACUGGGGAACUUGAGUGCAGAAGAGGAGAGUGGAAUUCCACGUGUAGCGGUGAAAUGCGUAGAGAUGUGGAGGAACACCAGUGGCGAAGGCGACUCUCUGGUCUGUAACUGACGCUGAGGAGCGAAAGCGUGGGGAGCGAACAGGAUUAGAUACCCUGGUAGUCCACGCCGUAAAC
rnacentral:rRNA from 1 species